AUGAACGCUGGCGGCGUGCCUAAUACAUGCAAGUCGCGCGAACGGACGAGAAGCUUGCUUCUCUGAUGUUAGCGGCGGACGGGUGAGUAACACGUGGAUAACCUACCUAUAAGACUGGGAUAACUUCGGGAAACCGUAGCUAAUACCGGAUAAUAUUUUGAACCGCAUGGUUCAAAAGUGAAAGACGGUCUUGCUGUCACUUAUAGAUGGAUCCGCGCUGCAUUAGCUAGUUGGUAAGGUAACGGCUUACCAAGGCAACGAUGCAUAGCCGACCUGAGAGGGUGAUCGGCCACACUGGAACUGAGACACGGUCCAGACUCCUACGGGAGGCAGCAGUAGGGAAUCUUCCGCAAUGGGCGAAAGCCUGACGGAGCAACGCCGCGUGAGUGAAGAAGGUCUUCGGAUCGUAAAACUCUGUUAUUAGGGAAGAACAUAUGUGUAAGUAACUGUGCACAUCUUGACGGUACCUAAUCAGAAAGCCACGGCUAACUACGUG
rnacentral:rRNA from 1 species